UGACACUCUGUUCUGGCUGUGCUCACACC
rnacentral:piRNA from 1 species